UCAGCUGAUGCUUCUAUAACAGAAGUUACCCCAAUUUCAAAAAAAAGAUACAGAGACGCUGUCAAAAGAGCUCUAUUCACCUUUCGUCCAUCAAAAAAACCAAAAAGCAUUUCUUUAAGUCAUGUUCAAACCGAAACCGAAUCUGAAAAAAUGGUCACAACAAAAAGCAUGGAGGAAAUUGUAUCAGAUUCUGAUUUACCAAUCACUGGCUUAAAGAAAAAAUCAAGCAUGGAGAAUUUGCCAACCAGCACUUCUACCCCAAAAAUAGAGGUCAAGACCUCCAUCAAAGAGAAAAAAAAAUCAUGAAGAAAGUGCAAAACAAAGCUCGCCCAAUUAAAUAGCAUGCUGUACAACACUAUCCAAAUUUUGCUAUUUUGAUGUCUACUUCCUAUUAUAAACAUCUCAAUGUAUAUAAAAACAAGUGUAGUACUUUAACAUAACAAGUAGCCUGUAAAAUAUGUUAUUACAUGCUUUUUUCCAACUUACACUCCUUUAUAAUGUUAUAAAUUAAAUCUCAUUAUAUAUAUA